rnacentral:rRNA from 1 species
GUUUCAGCAGCCGCGGUAAUACGGAGGGUGCAAGCGUUAUCCGGAUUCACUGGGUUUAAAGGGUGCGUAGGUGGGUCGGUAAGUCAGUGGUGAAAUCUCCGAGCUUAACUUGGAAACUGCCAUUGAUACUAUCGAUCUUGAAUACUGUGGAGGUCAGCGGAAUAUGUCAUGUAGCGGUGAAAUGCUUAGAUAUGACAUAGAACACCAAUUGCGAAGGCAGCUGGCUACACAAAUAUUGACACUGAGGCACGAAAGCGUGGGGAUCAAACAGGAUUAGAUACCCGCGUAGUCC